rnacentral:rRNA from 1 species
UACGUAGGGACCGAGCGUUGUCCGGAUUCAUUGGGCGUAAAGAGCGUGUAGGCGGCCAUGUAGGUCCGGUGUGAAAACUCGAGGCUUAACCUCGAGAUGUCAUCGGAAACCAUUUGGCUAGAGUCCGGAAGAGGAGAGUGGAAUUCCUGGUGUAGCGGUGAAAUGCGCAGAUAUCAGGAGGAACACCGAUGGCGAAGGCAGCUCGCUGGGACGGUACUGACGCUGAGGCGCGAAAGCGUGGGGAGCGAACAGG